UACGAAGGGGGCUAGCGUUGUCCGGAUUCAUUGGGCGUAAAGGGUGCGUAGGUGGCGUGGUAAGUCUGGUGUGAAAUCCCGGGGCUCAACCCCGGAACUGCACUGGAUACUGCCAUGCUUGAGUACUGGAGAGGAGAUUGGAAUUUACGGUGUAGCAGUGAAAUGCGUAGAUAUCGUAAGGAAGACCAGUGGCGAAGGCGAAUCUCUGGACAGUUACUGACACUG
rnacentral:rRNA from 1 species